AGGUCCUGGAGUAGAAGCUGGCCCUCAGGCACACUUCAGAGGUCCUGGAGUAGAAGCUGGCCCUCAGGCACACUUCAGAGGUCCUGGAGUAGAAGCUGGCCCUCAGGCACACUUCAGAGGUCCUGGAGUAGAAGCUGGCCCUCAGGCACACUUCAGAGGUCCUGGAGUAGAAGCUGGCCCUCAGGUACA